UUAUUUAAUGUGGGACGACCACAGCACCAGACGUCAGACACCAAGGCACUGUUCAAAGGGUGCCAUAAACUGUUGCUUUAUUUAACGUGUUUUCGCAUAACAAGACAGUGACAGGGGCCGUGGCUGCCUGCGUGUGCUGGUUCAAGCUUGGUGCCUGCCGGGAGGUGCCUACAGGGCCACCAAGGCUAAUAUUGAUACAAAUGUAGAGGGACAAAAGAGAAAGGCAGGAAGACCACCACCACCAGCACAGUGGAAGAAAGGUGUGAGGACGCAACAAUCAACACUGUCGACAAAGCAGACGACAUAGACACUCGUAUGUUCUACACCCAUUUUGGCACAGCACAGUUUGGUGCAUGGACAGCCUGGGUGUGCUGGGUCGGCCUGACAAUGUUCGCAAUGCUCAAGCUAUGCAAGUACCACCAGCAGGAGAAUAUUCGGGUGUCAAUGGCCAGGGAACGGGCUCGCCUAGUCUCUGAUCGACACUCUCAGAUCAGCGGAUGAUCGGAUGGUUCUUGGCCGGACAGCUGCUGAGUCUUCCUGUCAAAUUUCCAAGCUUGACAUUAUUUUCCUGUUGAUUUUCCUCUCUCAGGUUUUUUUUCCCAUUCUUGUUUUUUUUUCCUCUCAGAUUUUUUCCUCUUCUUAUUUAUUUUUUUUUUUUUUCUGCUUCCAUUUUUGUUUUUCUGUCAAAUUGCACCUGUUUUUGUUUUUUUUUCUCUCUUUUUCCCCUCUUGUUUUCCUAUUGAGUUUUUCUGUCUCUACUGUCCACCUUCCUAGCUCUCUAUCUUUUUUUUUCUUUUCUUUUCUUUUUUUUGGUGUGUGUGUGUGUGUGUGUGUUUGUAUACAUAGAUGUACAUAGUUGAGUUAUAUCCUGGAGAUGUGUGUGUGUGUGUGUGUGUGUAAGAGAGGGAGAGAGUGUGUUUUCAUAUCUCUCUCUCUCUCUCUCUCUCUCUCUCUCUCUCUCUCUCUCUCUCUCUCUCUCUCUCUCUCUCUCUCUCUCUCUCUCUCUCUCUCUCUCUCUCUCUCUCUCUCUCUCUCUCUCUCUCAUAUUUGAACAAGUAAACACAUCUUACUUUUUCACAUUGCACUUAGAAAACACACACACACACACACACACACACACACACACACACACACACACACACACACACACACACACACACACACACACACACACACACACACACACACUUAGUAUCACUGGCAUAAGUAGGUCUAUUUUUUUUUUUUUUUUUUCAUCACGUAGGCUUAAUGAAAACGUUGUGAAAAGCUUUAAGUUGUUAAGUAGGUGAUGUAAAGUGUGUUGGUCGUAACUUAAGACCUCCUAUCCUUUUUUUCUAUACCUACCUAUUUUUUUACCUACCUAUUUUUACCUACCUAUUCUAUACCUACCUAUUUUUUUCUAUAUGAACAAGUUAUUAGUUAAUUUUAAAGCUAUUUUUUUUUCUCUCAUUUCACUUGCAUUAUUCUCUCUCUCUCUCUCUCUCUCUCUCUCUCUCUCUCUCUCUCUCUCUCUCUCUCUCUCUCUCUCUCUCUCUCUCUCUCUCUCUCUCUCUCUCUCUCUCUCUCUCUCUCUGUAUCUAUCAUUAAAGAACAUAUAAACUCAUUAAUUCACUGGGUAUUAUCAAUAAGUUUUAGAUUAAAUAUUAUAAUUACUAGCUCUAGGUUUAUUUAUGUAACAGAGAGAGAGAGAGAGAGAGAGAAUGUACGUUUGUGUGUGUGUGUGUGUGUGUGUUUGUGUAUAAUCAUAUUCGCAUAUAUAAAUAUUGGAAGAGAUAAAUAAGAUGCAGAUUUUGUCCAUUGUAUAGCUAAGUAAUGAGGUCCUACAUACAUACAUACAUACAUACACAUUGCAUAUACUCACUAUAACCGUGUUCCAUUCCAGGCAGUUAGUGAAAAAAAAUAUAUCUAUUGCUGUACCCUUUGUAUAUGUAUGUUUAAAUAAUGUAUUGGUUAU